ensembl:lncRNA
GGAGAUUGUCAACGUCGAGUCUUCCCAAUCUGAUCAUUCAAGAGGAAAUGGCCUCCCGGAAUCCUAAAGCAGCUGAUUGGUCGGUCCCAUCCCUGAUUGGAGCUCUGACCCCUCCCUCUUGUCAGGGGAAACAGCUGUCUCUUCAAUUACCAACUCCUUCUCCAGCUUGAUAAAAGCCAGUGUUCCUUUGUCAGAGAGGAGAACUUUUUUAUUUUUUAAAUAUUUUUUUAAAUGACAUUUUUUAAUGUCCUGUGUUGGUUAGUGACAGUUUGGUUGAUAUUAUUAUGUAGCCACUCCUUCAGAGGUAUGUGUAUGCCAACAGGACUUAGUGUUUUUGGGUCAUUUAAAUUGUUCACGUACAUUACUGGUAAAUGAUUCUGUUUAAUUUGUUCCCAGGGGGGGACGCACCUUGGGAGUGUUUAGGUAAGAGGCCUGCGGGCAUACAUAACCCGUAGUAUUUAAUCUGUCCAUGCACUCUAGGUAAGACCUGUUAGUGCACCAGGUGGUGCUAAAGGUUAGGUAAGACCUGGGAGGACCACUCCCUGUGUUUUGGUUAGCGCGCCAGGUGGUACUAAAGGUUAGGUAAGACCUGGGCUGACCACCUCCUGUGUUUUGGUUAGCACGCCAGGUGGUGCUGAAGGCUAGGUAAGACCUGGGCGGACCACCCCCUGUGUUUUGGUUAGCGCGCCAGGUAGUGCUGAAGGCUAGGUAAGACCUGGGUGGACCACCCCCUGUGUUUUGGUUAGCGCGCCAGGUGGUACUAAAGGUUAGGAAAGUAGUGGGAAGGCAGGUAAGGUAGGAGAGGGGACUCUUUUAAUUUUUACUUUCAUUUCUUUGUUUCCCGUCCAGACCCUUUUCCCCACACUAGUGUUAAGGAAUAAUAAACUCCCUGUAAACUGUAUUUUUCUCUGCCUCUGUCGUCCUUCCCAUCACCUAUGAUCACAUACUGUUUUCACUCCACGGGGAGGUGAGAUGUAGCAGGAUGUCGCGUUCCCUCCUCCAAG